GUAUAUGGGACUAUGUACUAUCUAUUACCCCACUGAUCUUCAGGGUUGACUCAUCUAGCUGGCUAGAUGGGUAUUGCCUCCCUCCCUCACUGCUUCAUGUGCAUCCCUCCUGAAGUAGCAUUCAGUCUGUGGAAGAGAAGGACUUUCCCUGAUGGAGAGCAGUCAAGGGUAUACAAGAAACUGCCUGUGGUCCUCUAGUAGAACUUCCAAACACACUCUCAAAUUACUUUUGUUUUCUUAAUAUAAAAUGAGAAUUGGCCCAUAUUUUCAGCUGAGUGA
rnacentral:snRNA from 1 species